rnacentral:rRNA from 1 species
UUGAAAAGAACUUUGGAGAGAGAGUCAAAGAGACCGCGAAACCGUUGGGAGGGAAACGAAUGCGGCCAUAAAGACUACCUUCGGGUUCAGGUUGUCUCGGUGAUGGUGUUGCCGUCGGUGGGAACUCGUUUGAGUCUCUCUGGGGCAAGCCUGCUGAGGCUCCCGCACUCCCGUCCGUAGUCCGCCAACGGCGGUCACUUGCGGUCCAGCAGGGUCGUGGGGUUAGGUGCCUCCUGUGUCCACGUUGAUGCGGGAGAACUUAUAGCCUUCGGUCCGGAGAUCGCGCGUGACCGAGGACUGUUGCGACCAUUUCGCGCGGUGCAGCGCAGGCUCCGUAGGGGCCGGGUCGCUCUUGGGCCUGGGUGCUUCGCGGCGUGUCACUGCGUGCAGUGGCCGUUGACGGUAAUGCGCGCUCGCCUGGGAGGUCGGCCACGAUGUGCGCUGUGGUCGUUGGUGUGCGGAUGGCUUCAUCCGACCCGUCUUGAAACACGGA